UACGAAGGGUCCAAGCGUUAUCCGGAUUUAUUGGGUUUAAAGGGUGCGUAGGCGGACUAUUAAGUCAGUGGUGAAAUCCUGCAGCUUAACUGUAGAAUUGCCAUUGAUACUGAUGGUCUUGAGUAUGGUUGAAGUGGGCGGAAUGUGCGGUGUAGCGGUGAAAUGCUUAGAGAUCGCACAGAACACCUAUUGCGAAGGCAGCUCACUAAACCAUCACUGACGCUGAGUGCACGAAAGCGUGGGGAGCAAACAGG
rnacentral:rRNA from 1 species